AUUAUAUUGUACUAAUUAAAUAAUCCUCCAGAUCCAGCAAAUCGCCAACUUACGUUAUUGAGGCGUGUUUUCGGCAAAGCCACUGGGGCUUAUUGAUUGGAUAAAAUUGUCCUAUUGCCAAGCGCUAGGCAGUUUGCUACCGUAACCUGGCACUCGAGUAGAGCGGAAGUUAGUAGGGGAACUAUUUUUGAGUCCUGUCGAGGACAGUUUCCCGUCAUUAAACGGCAUUAAGUCUAUCCGAGACAGACUACAAAAAACCCAAACAA